AUUGAACGCUGGCGGCAGGCUUUACACAUGCAAGUCGAACGGUAACAGGCUGCAAGGUUCUUACGAGUGGCGAACGGUGGAGUAAUGCAUCGGAACGUACCCAGUCGUGGGGGAUAACGACGCGAAAGGGAAGGUAAUACACGAUACUAUCGAUGGCGGAAUGCGGGGGAACGUAAGGCAUCGUCGGAUUUGACGCGCCGAUGUCAGAUUAGGUAGUUGUAGGGGUAAAGGGCCACCAAGCCAACGAUCUGUAGCUGGUCUGAGAGGAUGAGCAGCCACACUGGGACUGAGACACGGUCCAGACUCCUACGGGAGGCAGCAGUGGGGAAUUUUGGACAAUGGGCGCAAGCCUGAUCCAGCAAUGCCGCGUGCAGGAAGAAGGCCUUCGGGUUGUAAACUGCUUUUGUACGGAAAGAAAAGCAUCUGGUUAAUACCCCGGGGUACUGACGGUACCGAAAGAAUAAGCACCGGCUAACUUCGUG
rnacentral:rRNA from 1 species